UNCUAAUAAAGGAGGUGUACUUCAUGUUC
rnacentral:piRNA from 1 species